UGCAUAACAGAUAAAGGGACUCAAAGCAAGAAGAUAGUGGUAUGGGACAAAGCUCCUAAGAGGUUCUAGAUCUUGAGCCCUGAGAGUGUGUGUGUGUGUGUGUGUGUGUGUGUGUGUGUAGGAGGAGGAGAGGGGAGGGUGGAGUGGAGGUGACUCAUUCUGGUUGACAUCACCACAAAAUAGUCUUCGUGCUAGACACUUUACAUGCAUUAUCUUUCAAAUUUAAGGAUGGGGGAGGGGUUUGGGAGGGUUGUAAGGGAAAGUGCCCAAUCCUGGCCUGCCCAGAGCCAGUGAAAGUGUAGGAGCAACCUUGAAUGUGGGCUCCCUGCCCUCAGUCCCUGGGCACUGCCUGUUCCCUGGCCUGCCACUCCUACAUACUACACCCAAGAGCACCCGACACUGCCCAGUUCUGGAUGGAUGCACUCUGGUCCUGCCCUGGUGAACAAAUGGCUGUGUGACCUUGGCUGGGGCAUCCUGCUGUCCGUCAACCCUGCUCUCAUCUGCCCACCUCCCCUGAGUUACCCACCAAGGAUCACGAAGAAUCUCUCUGAGGUGGGUCCUCUUCUCCUUGCCACCCUGGUUUCCCUGGCACUUCAGCAAUAUUCCUGGGUCCAGCUGGACGUGUCUAUCAGGCCGAAACCUGGAGACUAGCAAGACCCUGGAACACACUCUCAGCAGUGGAGUUGGAUGGUCAGGAUUGUUCUUCAUGGGCUCAGCUUGAUUCUUGGCCAGCUGGCCUGCCUGCUGCCCCUCACCUUCUACCCAGAGGGAAAUUCCUCACCCGCUGGACCACACCCGCUCUUGAGGACCUCGCGAGCUCUCUGGGCAGAGCGGAAGCCAGACAGAGACCGGACUCCAAGGCGACAAUCCCAGCUCUGUGUGUGCCAGGAGCCCCCAGGGGCAGGGGCCCACGCUGCAGGAGGUUAGCUGCCCCCCAACACUCAGGAGCCAGGAGUGGGCUGCAGGGACAGAGCGCUUCUCAAACGAGGAGGAGCCCCCGUGGAGUACGUGACUCCUGCCCCUCUGGCUGCACGCUCCAGUUACCAGGACAGAGACCCCUCCCCACGCGUCCCCAGCUUUCCCCUGCUUCCUGCUCUGGCUGCUGGGAGGCCCUGUCACCACACAUGCGCGAGCACGCACUCCGACACACGCGCCCCUCCCAGGCACCCCUGAGAGGACCAGCUGCAGCUGGGGGGUGCACUGAGUGCUGCCAGGUCCUCAGAUCCACAGCCUCCCCCCAUCCUCGCCCCCUACUGCUCAGCUGCUUGGAGGUUUAAAGCAAAACAUGACUGUCUUUCCUGCUGCUCAGUGGCAGCGGCGCUGCCUGAGGGUUAUUUUUAGCAGGGAUGCGAGGAAGGCACAUUUCUCCUUGACUUUCACCAGGGACAACCCUCACCCCCCAGCCAAGACUCGCCUGGGGAGGCAGGUUCGGAAACCCCACUCCCAGGAAGGGGAAACUGGUGGGUUUUCUGUUCUUUCAAUUCAUCAGGCCUUGAAGUCAAGCUAGGGGCUGCUCUGAUGGGAAAUUCUAGGUUCCAAAGCCCAUGGUUUCCCCCGCCAUCCCUGGUCUCUGUGUCGCUACAAAUUUGAGGAGCAAGAGGUACGUUGUGUCUAGAGGCAGGUCGCCCAGGCUGCGGGUGUUGGGGUCCUGGGGCAGCCGCGUGGUUACAGCCAGGCACUAUAGAUUGCAUGCAGUGCCCGGCUUUGUGGGGGAGCGGUUCUCACAGAUGCUGGCUUGUUAAUUCAUUAAACUGCCUGUCUGGCCUAUA